ensembl:lncRNA
UUUAAAAUGGACCGAGGCAAAGUGAGAAACUGUUCUGUGGUCAGACGAAUCGAAAUUUGAAAUUCGUUUUUGGAAACCAUGGACGCCACGUCCUCUAAACUAAAGAGGACUGAAGAGGAGAGGGACCAGCCGGCUUUUUAUCAGCACUCAGUUUAAAAGCCUGCAUCUCUGAUGGUAUGGGGGUGCAUUAGUGCCUAUGUAAUGAGCAGCUUUCACAUCUGGAAAGGCACCAUCAAUGCUGAAAGCUAGGCAAACCUGUGCUUUGUGGGGAAAUUGGGCUUCAGAUCACUAACCAGUGCUUCGUGAGGCCAGUCGGGACCUACGUAAUGCCGAUUGUCUUGUAUGUUUGAGCAAUCUGAGAAAUGAAUGGACAUUAUAUCUGAAAUAUGUGAAACUUGCCUUGGAGAACAAAACAAUGGCAUUCCUUAUGUGGUAUACAGCAUGUCGAGUCCUUUCUGUCCCUCGGAGAAAACCCAUCUUAUUUUAACUGUAAGGCUUCAUUUUAGCCUUUGACUUUGAUUUAGUUGUUUGGUUUUUAUCCACCUUUUCCAUUCUGUUGUUCAACUCUAUUAUGUUCGAUUGAUAAACCCUGUUAUAUUCCACCCUUAUACAUUCCAUGCUACUAUAUUUCAAUCCUGUUGUAUUCACUGUUCUGGCCUUUUAUGUUCCAACCUGCUAUGUUCCACCUUGUUCUAUUCCAUCCUGUUGUUUUCCUUUGUUCUGCCCAUCGCUAUGUUGUAUUGUUCCACCCUGUUAUAUUCCAACCAGCUGUACCACCCUGUUAUGUGACACUUCGUUGCACUCUGUUAUGUUUCACCCUGAUAUGUUACGUUGCGUUACGUUUCACUUUGUUACUCUUUGUUGUAACUAAUGUUACAACUAUGUUACAUCUCUCUUACGUCAAACUAUUCUGCCUGGUUAUGUUACACUCAAUUAUGUUACACAUUGUUACGCUCUGUAAUGUUACACUAUUCCACCCUGUUAUAUUACA